ensembl:rRNA 5S_rRNA 5S ribosomal RNA
GCUUACGGCCAUACCACCCUGAACACGCCCGAUCUCGUCUGAUCUCGGAAGCUAAGCAGGGUCGGGCCUGGUCAGUACUUGGAUGGGAGACCGCCUGGGAAUACCAGGUGCUGUAAGUU